rnacentral:SRP_RNA from 1 species
GCCGGGUGCGGCGGCUCACGCCUGUAAUCCCAGCACUUUGGGAGGCUGAGGUGGGUGGAUCACCUGAGGUCAGGAGUUUGAGACCAGCCUGGCCAACAUGGUGAAACCCCAUCUCUA